AAAUACUGGUAAGGUCAGCCGUGCGAUUCUGUAAGCGUUGUUUAACAAACUCGCACGUGAAUUUGGUGUGAGUUUUUAAAUUGGCAUUCUGUAAAUUUCAUUGUAGUGCCGAAUCUACACUAGCGCCCCUCGCGGGUGAAUUGAACUAGCAAGCGUGAGUUUUUUUUACUAAAAUGUAUGAGUUGACGUUGAUGUUGAGUUUGAAACGGCAUUCUGUAGUGUAAAUCACGUUGAAUUUCGGCAAGAACUUCGCAUCGCAAAAUCAUUUUAUUUGUCAAAUCAAAAGUUAGUGUUUUAAGUGUUUCUUGUGAGUGAGAAUAUACGAAAACGUUAUAAAUCGCUGUUAAUUAUUAAAAAAAUACUAUUAAUUAACAAAAUUGCACUUUAAAAUAACUAUUCUUCAUCGAUAUUUUAUGGAGCGUAUGUUUUUAUUGAAAACAUUGUUGAAAGAGGCUGACGCUACGGAUCAGCGUGAAAUGCGUCGACAAGCCUACGAAAUUCACAAUUUAUCACUUUUAACUUGAGAUGACGACUAUGUAAAAGUAUAAAGAAAGUGUAUAAAUUGUCGAAGGAUAUAUGAUCCUUAACCAGUUAGGGUGUGAAUUACACCCUUUGACGAAGACCACUAAAAGCCAUUGAAAAGGACUUUCAACUCUUCUAAAGUUUCAGUUAUUGUGCACCUUGUUUAUUUGGGCAAAUGAAGUUACCAAAAAAAUCAUAAAAGAAAAUAUAAGAACAUAUUUGUCCCAGAUAUCCCAGUGUAUAUCUGAGGUUGUGGAGGCUCUGAACAACCCAGCAACUAUAUAUAAAUAUUUAAGAUUCCCGCAGAAUGCUCAAGAAUGGCAAAAGUUGAAGGAAAACUGAAGAAAAAAGAAGGUGGUUUAAACUAAAUAAUUUUUUUUUUUCUUCAUAAAAAAGUACCAAUAUUAAUCUAAUGCUAAAUAUUGCAGUUUUUGUAAAAAAAUUAAAAUCACUUUGGUUGUUGGGUGUAUUGAUGGGACGUUGGUGGCCUUAAAAAGACCUGCCACCAAUAAAAAAUGUUUUUACUGUCACAAAGGCUAUCAUGCCAGAAAAUGUACAAUUUGUAAAGCCAUUAAUAUUUUUCGAAAUUCUGAUGAUAUGUAAUCCAUAAACGAAAUGUGUAUUAUGAACUAUGUAUUCAGAUUGUAUUCGUUUCAGUUAAAUUGAAUUGUGUAUAUUGCUUUAAAGUUAUUGUGAAAUUUAGUAUUUAUUUUAAAUAAACUUUAUUCAGUUAUAAAAAAAACAAAAUAAAAUCUACUAAAGAUUAGUCAAUGACAGCAAGUAAUGACCAUUAUAAAUAAUUAACAUCUUUUCGGUCUUUCUGUAUAUGCUCAACGUUCCAACCUUAUGACACCUUUUGCUAAUUUUUUUUUCAUUUCACCAUCUAAAUGGUUAGACGAGCUCACAGCCCACCUGGUGUUAAGUGGUUACUGGAGCCCAUAGACAUCUACAAAUUAAAUGCGCCACCAACCUUGAGAUAUAAAUUCGAAGGUCUCAGUAUAGUUACAACGGCUGCGCCACCCUUCAAACCGAAACGCAUUACUGCUUCAGAAAUAGGCGAUAAUGCUAUGCUAGCUAAUACCUGCUAAUAAUGGCUAGCUAAUGCUAAUACGGAGAGAGAUACUCCUGAAGCUUUGUAGCACCACCUUCAUUCCACUGCCCGUAACUCAGUGAAAAGAACAAUAGUUCUGUUAAAGAGUAGAUUCAGGUGUUUGCUGAUCCAUAGGGUGCCAAUUUAUCACCCUGAUAAGGUAGCAAAAAUAGCUGUUGCGUGUUGUGUUUUGCACAACAUUUGCAAUUGUGCAGAGCUGCCAGUUCCCAUAAUCUCAAAUUAUGAGAUCACAUUUAAAUUAUGGUGGUCAUGUUGAAUUACUUUGUUAAAUUCUACUAAUUAGCUUACUUGAGUCGUCUAUUAUCAAAGGUGGCAAUCUGUGCAUUUGGACAAAAAAAUGUUAUUGAUAUGUCAAUACAGAUUGAUUUGAAUAUAAUCGUCUCCUUCAAAGAAUACGGUUCAAAACCUGCAUUAAAUAAAGGUUAAUACUUAACCUUAAUAUCUAAGAUAUCGUUUAGAAGAGUUUUGUGACUGCCAAUGGAAUACAACGUCAAUAAUUCGUUUUUCUGAUUUACCAAUAAUUGUCCAAAAGUCACAUUGCCGGCUUUGAUAAUAGUCGACUCAUAUGAUAGCAUAGGUAAGAAAAAAAAGUAAUUUAAUUUAAAUUAUGUAUGCGCGGGCAAGCAUUGACUCCACGUUCGCUUCCCGAGCAGUAGUUACUCUUUUUUCUAAAUUCACUCACUUAUAGUGUGAAGUAACUCACUUAUAGUGUGAAGUAACUUCAAAUAUAAAUUAAUGAUUUAUAAAAAUA